AAGUCCCACAAUCGCAAGCGUGCUAAUGAAAACUAGCUUCCGGGAAGUAAUACCUCAAGGUGGUCCUUCGGGGGUGAAUGGUAGAAGAAGCGUUUGGGGGGUAGUUUUUAGUACGGAAGCGCCAUGGAUGGUGAAUCGUGCAUGCAGCUACUAAGAACCAGCGAUAUCUCUUGAAGAUUUUCUACCUCCAGCUC
rfam:Glossina pallidipes, whole genome shotgun sequence.